rnacentral:miRNA from 2 species
AAGGUCCAGCCUCAUAUGUCCU